GUGGGCAUGGUGGGGAUGGGUUGGGGUUCGACUAGAUGACCUUAGAGGUCUUUUCCAACCUAUUAUCAU
rnacentral:miRNA from 7 species